rnacentral:rRNA from 1 species
GGUGGCAAGCGUUGUCCGGAUUUAUUGGGCGUAAAGCGAGCGCAGGCGGUUUUUUAGGUCUGAUGUGAAAGCCUUCGGCUUAACCGGAGAAGUGCAUCGGAAACCGGGAGACUUGAGUGCAGAAGAGGAGAGUGGAACUCCAUGUGUAGCGGUGAAAUGCGUAGAUAUAUGGAAGAACACCAGUGGCGAAGGCGGCUGUCUGGUCUGCAACUGACGCUGAGGCUCGAAAGCAUGGGUAGCGAACAGGAUUAGAUACCCUGGUAGUCCAUGCCGUAAACGAUGAGUGCUAAGUGUUGGAGGGUUUCCGCCCUUCAGUGCUGCAGCUAACGCAUUAAGCACUCCGCCUGGGGAGUACGACCGCAAGGUUGAAACUCAAAGGAAUUGACGGGGGCCCGCACAAGCGGUGGAGCAUGUGGUUUAAUUCGAUGCUACGCGAAGAACCUUACCAGGUCUUGACAUCUUCUGCUAACCUAAGAGAUUAGGCGUUCCCUUCGGGGACGGAAUGACAGGUGGUGCAUGGUUGUCGUCAGCUCGUGUCGUGAGAUGUUGGGUUAAGUCCCGCAACGAGCGCAACCCUUAUUGUCAGUUGCCAGCAUUUAGUUGGGCACUCUGAUAAGACUGCCGGUGACAAACCGGAGGAAGGUGGGGAUGACGUCAAAUCAUCAUGCCCCUUAUGACCUGGGCUACACACGUGCUACAAUGGGCGGUACAACGAGUCGCGAGACCGCGAGGUCAAGCCAAUCUCUUAAAACCGCUCUCAGUUCGGAUUGCAGGCUGCAACCCGCCUGCAUGAAGUCGGAAUCGCUAGUAAUCGCGGAUCAGCAUGCCGCGGUGAAUACGUUCCCGGGCCUUGUACACACCGCUCGUCACACCAUGAGAGUUUGUAACACCCAAAGCCGGUGGGGUAACCGCAAGGGACCAGCCGUCUAAGGUGGGACAGAUGAUUGGGGUGAAGUCGUAACAAGGUAGCCGUAGGAGAACCUGCGGCUGGAUCACCUCCUUUCUAA